UGCCAAAAUUUUCCGUCAAAUCACUUAAGUGCCAAAUUGGAGAAAAAAUGAUCACUUUGGUGCCACCGGUGAAAUAUUACAACCAAAUUAUUACGUGGCUUUUAUAUUUUUUUAAAAAAAAAUUGUGGCUUUUAAACAACGUCGUUUUCCAUCCUCCUUAAGAAACGACGUCAUUUUGCCGUCAUACGUGGACAGCCUCACAAAAACAACACUAUACAACUCAUAUGGGGACUGAAAUUAGGGUUUCUUUGUCGUUCGCCCGCUGUCACUCGGCCACUGUCGCUUGGCCACCAUCAUAGUUGCUCAACCAGGUGAGCGAGAGGAUGAGGUUGUUGCUCAAGCAAGAAGUAACGGGAAAAAUAGGAGGGAGGAUGAAGGAGGAGGAAAAAAAAGAGGGGUCAAAGGUGCCACUGUUGAUGUCGCUAGUGGUGUCGCUGCUAAUGUUGUUUUUCAGGGGAGGAAAAAAAAGAGGGGUCAAAGGUGCCACUGAUGGUGUCGCUAGUGGUGUCGCUACUAAUGUUGUUUUUCAGGGAAGAAGACGAGGAGGAAGCUCAUGUCUUCUCUCUCUCAAUAUAGGGAUUUAGGGUUCCUACCUAGGGGCACCAAACGAUGUCAUUUUGUUGUUUGGAUGCUGACUGUACUCUCCAAAGAGCCAUGUCAGCUUUAAAAAUUAAUAAAAAAGUGUCACGCAGAUUUCCGGCCAAUUAGAUUGGUAUUGGCACUGAAAUGAUCGUUUUUCAAAUUUAUUAGAACUUAAAUGAUUCAAAAUAAACUUUUAACACCAAAGUGAGCGCCGUACAUAACUUUUGACACUUCUAGUGUACUUACCCA
rnacentral:lncRNA from 1 species